CUACGGGGCGCAGCAGUGGGGAAUAUUGCACAAUGGACGAAAGUCUGAUGCAGCAACGCCGCGUGGAGGAUGACACAUUUCGGUGCGUAAACUCCUUUUAUAUAGGAAGAUAAUGACGGUACUAUAUGAAUAAGCACCGGCUAACUCCGUGCCAGCAGCCGCGGUAAUACGGAGGGUGCAAGCGUUACUCGGAAUUACUGGGCGUAAAGAGCGUGUAGGCGGGUUUGUAAGUUGGAUGUGAAAUCCUAUGGCUCAACCAUAGAACUGCAUCCAAAACUGCUUACCUAGAAUAUGGGAGAGGUAGAUGGAAUUUCUGGUGUAGGGGUAAAAUCCGUAGAGAUCAGAAGGAAUACCGAUUGCGAAGGCGAUCUACUGGAACAUUAUUGACGCUGAGACGCGAAAGCGUGGGGAGCAAACAGGAUUAGAUACCCUCGUAGUC
rnacentral:rRNA from 1 species